rnacentral:rRNA from 1 species
CGCACGGGUGAGUAACACGUAUCCAACCUGCCGUCUACUCUUGGACAGCCUUCUGAAAGGAAGAUUAAUACAAGAUGGCAUCAUGAGUCCGCAUGUUCACAUGAUUAAAGGUAUUCCGGUAGACGAUGGGGAUGCGUUCCAUUAGAUAGUAGGCGGGGUAACGGCCCACCUAGUCUUCGAUGGAUAGKGGUUMUGAGAGGAAGSUCCCCCCACAUUGGAASUGAGACACGGUCCAAACUCCUACGGGAGGCAGCAGUGAGGAAUAUUGGUCAAUGGGCGAGAGCMUGAACCAGCCAAGUAGCGUGAAGGAUGACUGCCCUAUGGGUUGUAAACUUCUUUUAUAAAGGAAUAAAGUCGGGUAUGGAUACCCGUUUGCAUGUACUUUAUGAAUAAGGAUCGGCUAACUCCGUGCCAGCAGCCGCGGUAAUACGGAGGAUCCGAGCGUUAUCCGGAUUUAUUGGGUUUAAAGGGAGCGUAGAUGGAUGUUUAAGUCAGUUGUGAAAGUUUGCGGCUCAACCGUAAAAUUGCAGUUGAUACUGGAUAUCUUGAGUGCAGUUGAGGCAGGCGGAAUUCGUGGUGUAGCGGUGAAAUGCUUAGAUAUCACGAAGAACUCCGAUUGCGAAGGCAGCCUGCUAAGC